rnacentral:rRNA from 1 species
GACGAACGCUGGCGGCGUGCUUAACACAUGCAAGUCGAACGAUGAAGAAAAGAAUUGAAGCUUCGGCAGAAAUUCAUUUCGGAUUAGUGGUAGACGGGUGAGUAACGCGUGAGCAACCUACCUCUUACAAAGGGAUAGCCUCGGGAAACCGGGAUUAAUACCAUAUAACAUUGCGACGAAGCAUUUCGAUGCAAUCAAAGCUACGGCGGUAAGAGAUGGGCUCGCGUCCCAUUAACCAGAUGGUGAGGUAACGGCUCACCAUAGUAACGAUGGGUAACCGGCCUGAGAGGGUGAACGGUCACACUGGAACUGAGACACGGUCCAGACUCCUACGGGAGGCAGCAGUGGGGAAUAUUGCACAAUGGAGGGAACUCUGAUGCAGCGACGCCGCGUGAGUGAUGAAGGAAUUCGUUUCGUAAAACUCUGUUCUAUGGGAAGAAAAGGACUGUACCAUAGGAGAAAGCUCCGGCUAAAUACGUG